rnacentral:ncRNA from 2 species
AUGAUCCCCGCGGGAGAGUUCGCCGUGUGCCUGGCACGCGCGCGACGCCGAAGGCGCAACCGCCCCGGACACGCUCAGGCCCAAGGACCGCGCGGGAGCU